rnacentral:tRNA from 1 species
GCACGAGUGGCGGAAUUGGUAGACGCGCCGGAUUUAGGAUCCGGUAUUGAAAGAUGUGGAGGUUCGAGUCCUCUCUCGUGCACCA